UGGCAUGAUCACAGCUCACUGCAGCCCCAGCCUCCCGGGCUCAAGUGAUCUUCUCACCUCAGUCUCCUGAGUAGUUGGAACCACAGGAGGCACAAGAAGAGGUCAUGUGAAUGCACAGCAAGAAGGUAGAUCUGCAAACCAGAAAGAGAGCUCUCACCAGAAGAAGGCCUUCCUGGUAUCCUGAUCUAAGACUUCCAGCCUCCAGAACAUUCAUUAUAGGGAACAUGUGGCAAUGUAUGGAGAAAAGUACAAUAACAGAG